rnacentral:rRNA from 1 species
AGUGAACGCUGGCGGUAGGCCUAACACAUGCAAGUCGAACGGCAGCACAGUAAGAGCUUGCUCUUACGGGUGGCGAGUGGCGGACGGGCGAGGAAUACAUCGGAAUCUACUUUUUCGUGGGGGAUAACGUAGGGAAACUUACGCUAAUACCGCAUACGACCUACGGGUGAAAGCAGGGGAUCUUCGGACCUUGCGCGAUUGAAUGAGCCGAUGUCGGAUUAGCUAGUUAGCGGGGUAAAGGCCCACCAAGGCGACGAUCCGUAGCUGGUCUGAGAGGAUGAUCAGCCACACUGGAACUGAGACACGGUCCAGACUCCUACGGGAGGCAGCAGUGGGGAAUAUUGGACAAUGGGCGCAAGCCUGAUCCAGCCAUACCGCGUGGGUGAAGAAGGCCUUCGGGUUGUAAAGCCCUUUUGUUGGGAAAGAAAAGCAGCAGGUUAAUACCCCGCUGUUCUGACGGUACCCAAAGAAUAAGCACCGGCUAACUUCGUG